GUUGAAACAAUGACGAGGAUUAGUAAAAUGAAGGCAUCUUACCAAGAGAGGAAACCAUUUGGUGGGAGGUUUCUUAAGAUACUCAUUUGAACCUGCCUCUGAGUUCUGUAUCGGAUAGUAAUUUGAAGAUACAAGCGGAUCCAAUCCGUUAUCAUGCCAAGUGUGUAAAGUGUAAGCUUUAUGAAUUUAGGGUGGUACCGCCAGACCUUGGUCCCUUUU
rnacentral:ncRNA from 1 species